rnacentral:tRNA from 1 species
UCCCUGGCAGUCUAGUGGUUAAAACUCUGCACUUCCACUGCAGAGGGUGAGGUUUCAUCCUUAUUCAGGGAA